rnacentral:pre_miRNA from 1 species
UUGGUACUCCCUCCGUCUGGAAAAGCUUGUCCCAAGCUUGUGUCCAUCAAAUGGAUGUAUCUAGCACUAACUUGGUGUUAGAUACAUCCAUUUAAGGGACAAGCUUUUUCGGACGGAGGGAGUAUGAU